GACAGGUGGUGCAUGGUUGUCGUCAGCUCGUGUCGUGAGAUGUUGGGUUAAGUCCCGCAACGAGCGCAACCCUUAAGCUUAGUUGCCAUCAUUAAGUUGGGCACUCUAAGUUGACUGCCGGUGACAAACCGGAGGAAGGUGGGGAUGACGUCAAAUCAUCAUGCCCCUUAUGAUUUGGGCUACACACGUGCUACAAUGGACAAUACAAAGGGCAGCGAAACCGCGAGGUCAAGCAAAUCCCAUAAAGUUGUUCUCAGUUCGGAUUGUAGUCUGCAACUCGACUACAUGAAGCUGGAAUCGCUAGUAAUCGUAGAUCAGCAUGCUACGGUGAAUACGUUCCCGGGUCUUGUACACACCGCCCGUCACACCACGAGAGUUUGUAACACCCGAAGCCGGUGGAGUAACCUUUUAGGAGCUAGCCGUCGAAGGUGGGACAAAUGAUUGGGGUGAAGUCGUAACAAGGUAGCCGUAUCGGAAGGUGCGGCUGGA
rnacentral:rRNA from 1 species